GGUAUGGGUAAGGCUUACAUGGGAGGGCUGGCCUAGGACUAAAGAGACAAAUGCUUCUGCAGGCAGAACAGGAGAAAUGGUGCAUGGUAAACAUGAUAUUUUCUGGCAUCAUUUUCCUUAAGGCUUCUUCUGGAGGUUCAUUUUGGCUUCCUGUUCCUAAUGCUGAUGGAAUAACAAUACAAAACUGCACACCCUGCUGAGAGAGUGUUUCCCAGUAUGUUUAUUUGUUCAUGAAGUUUUUGGCACAAUGCAGGGUUCUCUGAAGAGGAAAGCAAAACGAGAAGUUGCAUUUGGAGUAAGAAAAAACGCUGCGGCAGUGCUUCUAUUGGAGAUUCAUCCCAGAUGUGAUCUGCAACUGAAGAGGGGACUGCAUAUGCAGUGUUUCCCAAGAGCUUACGCCUGAAGCAAUAGAAGAAAUUCUGCUGGAGCAGUAACAGUGUAAAACCUCUACUGAACAUGGAGGAGAUGACCGUGUCUGCACAAGAGGUAGGAAUUCUGGCUGAGUGAUAUUGCACCCAGAAAUGUGCUUUGUGGCAAAAACACCAGUCUUUCCAUUCUACUUUAUUUAUUAAACAAGAGUCUGUGUAAUUCAGAAUGAUGUUAUGAUGGCUGCGUUUCAAAGUGAAUUCAGUCAAGAAGGAUUUCAUUUAGAGAAAUAUUGCAUUCUAGCCAGGAAAUUUCUAAUUGGUAUUUUGUAAUCCAGUGAGGCUGCCUCCAAGAAUCCUUCCAGAGUUACUAUGGGUGAGUCAGUACUUGUGGACACAUGGUCCACAAACCUGUGGGUUUCCUGAAU
rnacentral:lncRNA from 1 species